UCCACAUAAAAGUUUUACAAAUGAAUUACUUAAAUAAGAAUAAUAAAAAGAUAAAUAAAUUAUAAAAAAAAUAAAUUAACACAUCAAGUGAACAAUAAAAUAUAAUGUAUAAACUUAUAUUUCAAAUCCUAAAAUAAAAUUCACCUAAUCGAUUCAAACAAAUUAAAUUAACACACACAAAAUAAAUAAAUGUUUUAUUUAUUUAUUUUAAUGAUUUUAUCAAUGAAUUUUUUUCCUUUUUUGAACCAUUUUUUUUAAAAACAAAAGUGUAGAUUUAGUUUACAAUCUAAUCGAUCUAAAAAAACCAAACAUCAUUAUACAAAAGAGAUUUAAUUUCGUCGCCAGAUUCCCUGACUUCAUCAAAUGUCUGGGUUCAUUGUUUAGCAUAAAAUGUCAUCCAAUCGACACAAAUUGACUUUUCAAUGAAUACGAUGUAAAUCUAAUUUUUUUUAAUAAUACAAUUCUUGUAAAUUUGAAUUAAAAUUAAAAUGAAGAUAGAAAGCAGGAGAACCUCUUGAUCGAACCAUCAUUUUCAAUCAAAGCCCACCAACCAGAGCAUACGUGGAUCUGUAUCACAUAUAUAUAAU
rnacentral:lncRNA from 1 species